AAGAUCGGAAGAGGUGCGAAACUCAGGUAGUUAAUUGGAAAAGUCUAAGCUUUGAAGAUAAUUAGCGAGGGGAGUGAUCGCCGAGGAGUUAAUAUGCUUAGGACAUAUUACUUCGGUUGUUGAGGUUGAAUCCUUGCAAUUGUCACCAAUUAAGGGUGGAGAGCUUUCGGCAGU
rnacentral:ncRNA from 2 species